AAAAAAGCCAGGCAGCUUAGUGUUACCUUCAUGCACGUCUCCCUCAGCAAGUCAUUGUUACACUGUCCAUUUAACACUGUUGAAGAAAAACAGACUCAUGUCUUAGGAUGUUUUCCUUUGGAGGGAGACCCCUUUCAGCUUUACAUGUAACUGCUCCUAAGCAUGACUUAACGUUUAACAUUUCUCUUCCCAAUUCACCACCGAAUUUCCCCGAAUCCCAAUAUGAUGUUGAACACUGGGUUAGGGAAUAGAGGGUGGUGAAUUAAACGUAAUACUCUUCAGACUGGAGGACAUGGGGGCCCUGGGAAAUCCCAAGGACUCUGCGCUGACUUCAGCCUCUGAAGUUUGGGGAGUUUGGCAGACACCAUAGAAAAGCUCCCUUCAUCUCUUAAAUUGUUUGAGUUCCAUGGCAACAGCAGCCUUAGAAACUUGAGAGAGAGGGAUGGGGAGAGCGGGGGAUGGUUGAGAAGGAGAUAAGAAAAGAUGACCGAAUAGGCCUGGGAUUUUAUAUGCGGCGCUCAACUUGAGAGAGAAGGAAACGAGUGGGGAGGAAUGCCCAAGACCGCCGCCGGGGUGAUCUCAUACCAGCCAAAAGGCAAACGAGGGCCUGGCCGCCAGCUGAAAGGAACAAAGGCGAAACAUCUGAAUCCCGUCUUUCGUGUGAUCUUGUGCUAUUUUGCUGGCAGUUUCACAAUAGUGACCAACUUAGGGACCGCAGAGAGAAGCUAGAUAUCUCUGCCAGAGAAAACGCAUUCCUGAACCUGACAUCUGGGCCUUGCAGCUGGAGAGAAGAAGACAAAAAAGAAAAAAUCCUGAGUGUCAUCAAAGGCAGUUGAUGGUGCCAAGUCACCACCAGAGCAUGGCUGCCAAUGAAUGGUGUAGGUCAAAACCUACUCCCAGGAACUGAACCCAGGCCACUGAAGCGGAACCUGCUCAACUUAGCUGCUAGGCCAUGGAAACGGCCCCUUGAAUAUUUUAAGCUGAAGGAAUUUGAGAAACAGCAGGUGCAGGAAAGACUCUCUAACUUCUCUCUCCUCUCUUGAAGCAUAAAUCCCUCAUGUGAGAGGAAUGCUCCCUAUACCCAGCAGAAAGGAGCAUCCUUAUCUCCGAAGACAAAGAGACACCAAGAAGAAUCCUAACAAACAGCCUCCGCAAAGUUACCCCAGUUUAUCACACCCUUUUGUCCUAUCAUAUUUUUCCACAACUUCCCACUUUUCAUCAAAUCUUCUAUUAAAAAAUGCUGAAGUUGAACUCUUUCUUCAGGUCUCCAUUUCCUUAUGAAGGCUGUUGUGUCAUGUAAACUCAUAUUAAAUAAAUUUGUAUGUUCUUCUCUUGUUCAUUUGUCCUUUGUCAGUUCAAUUUAUGGUGCCCCAGCUGGAGAGCCUAGGAGGGUAGUAGGGAAAGGAAUUUUUCAGCCACUACAAAAUGAUAUUAAAAAG
rnacentral:lncRNA from 1 species